GUGCUCACUUUGGCAGCACAUACACUAAAAUUGGAACAAUACUGAGAAGGUUAGCAUGGCUCCCGCUCAAGGAUGACAUCCAUAAAUGGUGAAGCAUCCUAUAAUUUU